rnacentral:rRNA from 1 species
UGACUGUGCAAAGGUAGCAUAAUUAAUUGCCUUAUAAUUGAAGGCUUGUCUGAACGGCUUGACGCGGUAGCUACGAAUAUUUGAUUUUUUGGUGAAAUUGGUUUGGGGGGCACAGAACCCCCCUUUUUUAAUUAGACGGAAAGACCCCAGAAUCUUUCAUUUUUGUCUGGGGCAGAUGGUAAUAUUUCAUUUCUAUUUUGACCCCUCUGGGUUUAGUGAGCUAAGUUACUCUGGGGAUAACAGUGUAAUAGUUUAUUAGAGGCCUUAUCGCAUAAACUGUUUGCUACCUCGAUGUUGACUU